rnacentral:tRNA from 1 species
AGGGUUAUAGUUUAAUAAAAACAUUUACUUUGCAAGUAAAAAAAAUUUGAAUUAAUUAACCUUA